rnacentral:rRNA from 1 species
AUGAAGCAGAUGGUGAUGCCAAAUGCAGGCGGGACUAAUAUAACGCGCCCAAAUAUAAUACUGUUAGAGAAGCCAGGAGGCGGAGUACUCGGUCUUCUUCCACCCUUGGGUCUUGACCCUCUCCACCAUCUCCUCCUACGAUUCAGAUGCAGAUCUGAAAGUACGACGCAAGGCUCGGCAAGUCAUGAAGAUCAACCAAGCGUGGUCGCGUACACAGUGCAUGUGUUCUGGACUUCCGGCGAGAAAUUCACUAACGGGCGCGCGCUCCUCCUGCUCCUUGCCGUCCUCCUCGCGUCCUCCUUGUGCGCCGGCUGCACGGCGCGGCUGGCUCCGAGCGGACGCGCCGGAAGGGCCCCCUCGACGGGCUCCGGCCCUGCGCCGGCGGCUGGAACAUCAGCGACCGGCACUACAUCGCCCGCGGCGCCGGCGUUCGCGGCCGCGGCGGUCUGGCUCGUCGGCUUCGCCCUGGCGGCGCUCGUGGCUUGCUGCUGCCGGUGCUGCCGCGGCAGCCCCACCAGGGACGACGACUACUCCUACUCGCGCAAGACCUUCGCUGCCUCCCUCCUCCUCCUCUCCGCCUUCACCGCCACCGCCAUCCGCUCCCACAGGCUCCCGCCCGAGCAGCAGUACUUCAUGGACUGCUGGGGCCACAUGGGGGGCUUCAUCCCGGCGGGCAAUGGCCACCAGCCACCGGCGAGUUUAAUUAAAGAGCUGGGAUGUGGUCUGUUAACCCGAUUUCUGACAGGGCUGGCCCACCCGUCAGGUGCCACGUCGCACAAACCAGACAGCGCACGGGUGGACGGCCUAGGGCACGCGCGUGGUCAAAGCGUUGCCCUCCACUCGCCGCCGCUCCACUCGCUCACUCUCACUCUCACCCCCACCCCCCCACCCACUCUGCUCUGUCCUCUGCUGUCGCCGCCGGAGCUCUUCGCCGCCGCUGGAGGCACGGUUCCCUCGCCGCCGUUGAAGAUGCCGUCGUGGAAUGAUGGAGAGGAGAGCAGCGAGGAGGAGCUGGUCGGCAUGGAGCUGGAGCAAAACUGGGUGAACCCUGGCACCACUAUAGAUGCAUCCUUUUGUGGUAGAGCUGCAGAUGCAAGCAUCACAUGUAGACUGCACUUGGCCCCAUGCAUGAAAUAUGUUGCAUUUGAAGGAAAGGACACUGGGAGGAGGUUCUAUGGAUGUGCUAUUCCUCAGGAUGGUAUUGAUUGUGGAGUUACUCAGUGGGUUGAUGCCCCAUGGCCUUCUAUUCUGCAAAGAUGUUUGGUGAAGAUAUGGGAGAUGUUUCAUGAGGAGAACAAUGGCAGAAUGAUUGACCAUGAGAAGUAUAAGAAAGAGUUGGAUAAGGUGCACAAGGAGUUGGAUACACUUGGUGAUCAGUACAGUCAGCUGGUUCAGGAUGUCACCAAGAUGUUUGAUUGGGCAGACCAAAACAACAGGGUCAUGAGUGAUGAAGAGUUCAAGCAGAAGCAGAUGGAUGUGGACAAGGACAUGGAGAAGCUAGCUAUCAGCAAGGAGAAGGACAAUGAUGGCAUUGGCAAGAUGAAGGAGACGGAGAAACUAGCUCAGGAGCUCAAGGAGAUGAAGUGCAUUUAUAGAUCUCAGGGAGAGAUCAUUAGGAACACCAGGAAGGAGAGAGAUGGCUUCAAGAAAGAGAGGGACUGGCUGAUAGAGGAGAAGAAGAGGCUGGAGUUUCUGGUGGGUGAUCUUAUGAAAGCUGGUCAUGGCAACAAGGACAAGCUUGAGAAGAUCAAGUCAAUCCUUGCUGAGUGA